AGUGAACGCUGGCGGUAGGCCUAACACAUGCAAGUCGAACGGCAGCACAGGAGAGCUUGCUCUCUGGGUGGCGAGUGGCGGACGGGUGAGGAAUACAUCGGAAUCUACUCUGUCGUGGGGGAUAACGUAGGGAAACUUACGCUAAUACCGCAUACGACCUACGGGUGAAAGCAGGGGACCUUCGGGCCUUGCGCGAUUGAAUGAGCCGAUGUCGGAUUAGCUAGUUGGCGGGGUAAAGGCCCCCCAAGGCGACGAUCCGUAGCUGGUCUGAGAGGAGGAUCAGCCAAACUGGAACUGAGACACGGUCCAGACUCCUACGGGAGGCAGCAGUGGGGAAUAUUGGACAAUGGGCGCAAGCCUGAUCCAGCCAUACCGCGUGGGUGAAGAAGGCCUUCGGGUUGUAAAGCCCUUUUGUUGGGAAAGAAAUCCAGCUGGCUAAUACCCGGUUGGGAUGACGGUACCCAAAGAAUAAGCACCGGCUAACUUCGUGCCAGCCGCCGCCGUAA
rnacentral:rRNA from 1 species